GCCGAACCGUGCGAACGUUAUUCGGAAUCAUUGGGCUUAAAGGGCGCGUAGGCGGCGGUGUAAGUUGGAAGUGAAAUCCCAUCGGCUCAACCGUGGAAUUGCUCCCAGUACUGCACUGCUCGAGGGGGAUAGGGGUCUGCGGAACUACCGGUGGAGCGGUGAAAUGUGUUGAUAUCGGUGGGAACGCCAGUGGCGAAAGCGGCAGACUUGACCCUUCCUGACGCUGCAGCGCGAAAGCUAGGGGAGCAAACAGG
rnacentral:rRNA from 1 species